rnacentral:rRNA from 1 species
GAUGCUUUGGUGCCUUCGGGAACUCUGAGACAGGUGCUGCAUGGCUGUCGUCAGCUCGUGUUGUGAAAUGUUGGGUUAAGUCCCGCAACGAAGCGCAACCCUUAUCCUUUGUUGCCAGCGAUUCGGUCGGGAACUCAAAGGAGACUGCCGGUGAUAAACCGGAGGAAGGUGGGGAUGACGUCAAGUCAUCAUGGCCCUUACGGCCAGGGCUACACACGUGCUACAAUGGCGCAUACAAAGAGAAGCGACCUCGCGAGAGCAAGCGGACCUCAUAAAGUGCGUCGUAGUCCGGAUUGGAGUCUGCAACUCGACUCCAUGAAGUCGGAAUCGCUAGUAAUCGUAGAUCAGAAUGCUACGGUGAAUACGUUCCCGGGCCUUGUACACACCGCCCGUCACACCAUGGGAGUGGGUUGCAAAAGAGGUAGGUAGCUUAACCUUCGGGAGGGCGCUUACCACUUUGUGAUUCAUGACUGGGGUGAAGUCGUAACAAGGUAAGCGUAGAUGA